rnacentral:rRNA from 1 species
UGCCAGCAGCCGCGGUAAUACGAAGGGAGCUAGCGUUACUCGGAAUUAUUGGGCGUAAAGCGUGCGUAGGCGGCUUUGCAAGUUGGAAGUGAAAGCCCAGGGCUUAACCCUGGAAUUGCUUUCAAAACUACAAGGCUAGAAUGUCAGAGGGGAUAGCGGAAUUCCUAGUGUAGAGGUGAAAUUCGUAGAUAUUAGGAGGAACACCGGAGGCGAAAGCGGCUAUCUGGCUGAUUAUUGACGCUGUGGCACGAAAGCGUGGGGAGCAAACAGGAUUAGAUA